AUAAAUACUAAUCGCUUUUUGGCUAAGAUCAAGUGUAGUAUUUGUUCUUAUCAGUUUAAUAUCUGAUACAUCCUCUAUCCGAGGACAAUAUAUUAAAUGGAUUUUUAGAGCAGGGAGAUGGAAUAAGAGAUUGCUCUGUCCACUCCACGCAUCGACCUGGUGGUAUUGCAGUACUUCCGGAAACAGUGCACCUUCU